rnacentral:rRNA from 1 species
AUUGAACGCUGGCGGCAUGCCUUACACAUGCAAGUCGAACGGCAGCACGGGAGCAAUCCUGGUGGCGAGUGGCGAACGGGUGAGUAAUAUAUCGGAACGUGCCCAGUAGUGGGGGAUAGCCCGGCGAAAGCCGGAUUAAUACCGCAUGAGACCUGAGGGUGAAAGCGGGGGAUCGCAAGACCUCGCGCUACUGGAGCGGCCGAUAUCAGAUUAGCUAGUUGGUGGGGUAAAGGCCUACCAAGGCAACGAUCUGUAGUUGGUCUGAGAGGACGACCAGCCACACUGGGACUGAGACACGGCCCAGACUCCUACGGGAGGCAGCAGUGGGGAAUUUUGGGACAAUGGGCGCAAGCCUGAUCCAGCAAUGCCGCGUGCAGGAAGAAGGCCUCGGUUGUAACU